rnacentral:rRNA from 1 species
UACAGAGGUCCCAAGCGUUGUUCGGAUUCAUUGGGCGUAAAGAGCUCGUAGGCGGUCUGUCGCGUCUGGUGUGAAAUCCCAUGGCUCAACUGUGGGCUUGCAUCGGGUACGGGCAGACUAGAGUGCUGUAGGGGAGACUGGAAUUCCUGGUGUAGCGGUGGAAUGCGCAGAUAUCAGGAGGAACACCGAUGGCGAAGGCAGGUCUCUGGGCAGUUACUGACGCUGAGGAGCGAAAGCAUGGGGAGCGAACAGG